AUUGAACGCUGGCGGAAUGCUUUACACAUGCAAGUCGAACGGCAGCACGGACUUCGGUCUGGUGGCGAGUGGCGAACGGGUGAGUAAUGUAUCGGAACGUGCCCAGUCGUGGGGGAUCACGUAGUGAAAAUUACGCUAAUACCGCAUACGAUCUAUGGAUGAAAGCGGGGGAUCGCAAGACCUCGCGCGAUUGGAGCGGCCGAUAUCAGAUUAGGGAGUUGGUGGGGUAAAGGCCCACCAAGCCAACGAUCUGUAGCUGGUCUGAGAGGACGACCAGCCACACUGGAACUGAGACACGGUCCAGACUCCUACGGGAGGCAGCAGUGGGGAAUUUUGGACAAUGGGCGAAAGCCUGAUCCAGCCAUUCCGCGUGCAGGAUGAAGGCCCUCGGGUUGUAAACUGCUUUUGUGCAGAACGAAAAGGUUUCUACUAAUACUAGGAGCUCAUGACGGUACUGUAAGAAUAAGCACCGGCUAACUACGUGCCAGCCGCCGCUGUAA
rnacentral:rRNA from 1 species